ACGCUCGACACCUACGGGAAGCAGCAGUGGGGAAUAUUGCACAAUGGGGGAAACCCUGAUGCAGCAACNCCGCGUGAGUGAAGAAGUAUUUCGGUAUGUAAAGCUCUAUCAGCAGGGAAGAUAAUGACGGUACCUGACUAAGAAGCUCCGGCUAAAUACGUGGCAGCAGCCGCGGUAAUCUGAGCGGGCUGGCAAGGC
rnacentral:rRNA from 1 species